rnacentral:rRNA from 1 species
UACAGAGGUCCCAAGCGUUGUUCGGAUUCACUGGGCGUAAAGGGUGCGUAGGUGGUCGGGUAAGUCUGAUGUGAAAUCUCUGGGCUCAACCCAGAAAUGGCAUUGGAUACUAUUCGGCUAGAGGAGUGGGAGGGGGGACUGGAAUACUUGGUGUAGCAGUGAAAUGCGUAGAUAUCAAGUGGAACACCAGUGGCGAAGGCGAGUCCCUGGACACUUCCUGACACUGAGGCACGAAAGCUAGGGGAGCAAACAGG